UACGGAGGGUGCAAGCGUUAAUCGGAAUUACUGGGCGUAAAGCGCACGCAGGCGGUCUGUCAAGUCGGAUGUGAAAUCCCCGGGCUCAACCUGGGAACUGCAUCCGAAACUGGCAGGCUAGAGUCUUGUAGAGGGGGGUAGAAUUCCAGGUGGAGCGGUGAAAUGCGUAGAGCUCUGGAGGAAUACCGGGGGCGAAGGCGGCCCCAUGUACAAAGACUGACGCUCAGGUGCGAAAGCGUGGGGAGCAAACAGGAUUAGAUACCCCCGUAGUCC
rnacentral:rRNA from 1 species